UUUGAAGCACGAGGGGAUCUACAAUUCCAUGGUCUUUUGAAGCACUAGGGGAAGGAGAAGUUUGGUAAUGCUUAUCGCCAGUGGCAGAAGGAUGCACCCAAUUUUAACAUUGAUGGCCAUUAUCCGGUAAAAGAACUUUGGGACCGAGCCAAAAGCUGCCGGAGUAAAAUUUUAGCUCAUAAAGGCAAGUCUGUCAUUGUUGUUGCUCACAACGCAACUAAUCAAGCCCUUGUUGAAACAACAUUAGGAUUAGGCAUGGACUACUUCAGGGUAAUGCUUCAGAGCAACUGUGGAGUGAGUGUGCUGGAUUUCACUCGAAAACCUCGAGAUGACUCUCCCCAUGUAUGCAUCAAUAGGUUAAAUCAGGUAAAUAUUUGGUUUAUCCACAUGUCAUAAUAGUUUGAAAUUGGAUGAGAUAGAAAAAUGAGGUUCCCUUCCAAUGUAUUCAAUAUCCAUGGCUUGAGCUUGUCUAUCAUCAGAAUGCUUUCUGCAAAUAUCAAGUGCUGCUGGAACUUUCUUGAUUUAAUUUUUCUCCAUAGUUAUCUCAGAUAUCAGUAAUGAUAGUAGUAGGUCAUAAUCCUCACAUGCCUAUUCCUUGAUGCUGCGCCUACUCUUUUGUACUACUUUCAUGCCAUCUACUGUUUACCGUCUAAUAUUUCUUUAAAUAACAUCAGUUUUAUGAUGGAGAUCUCUAUUUUCUGUCAGUAAAAUGGAACUUUUCUAUCAUAUGAUGCUUUUCUUUGAUGUGGCUGCAGACCCCAAAUUCACCUAUCGCUGGGGGGACUUCAGCUGGAAGAAAAACUUCCAAGAAAUAACUUCCAAGAAAAACUACCAAUGUAUUCAAUAUUAUUUUCUGCCUAUAGAAAGCAUCUAAAUUUGGGUUCUUUUGAUUGACGUGUCGAUUGCAGCCAGGGCCAAAGGAGCUUCCAAUGCAGUGCUUUAUUAAGAGAAAUAAGAAGAACUCUACAUUCUAUCUUUAUCUCACCUUGAACCAAAAUCUGAUUUCGUGGGCAAUAAGUUCACAAUAUACGACAGCCGCCCACCUUUCACUAUCGCAAAAGCAUCAAGUAGUCGGAGGAGCCGACGCUUCACCAGCAAGCAAAUCAGCCCACAAUCUUCGGCUGGUAAUUUCAAGAUUGGUUAUGCAUACAAAUUCAACCUUCUCAAAUCUUGAAGACCAAGAAGAAUGUUUUGCAGAUUACAAUGCCCUCCAACCGAAGAAUCCACCAAAGGAGAAGAAUCAUCUCAACCUCUUGUCUGUGGUAUUGAGGAACAAAGCUCCUCGAUGGCAUGAGCAUCUUCAAUGCUGGUGCUUGAAUUUUCACGGGAGGGUAACCGUUGCUUCUGUGAAGAAUUUUUAGCUUGUUGCAGCUUCGAAUCCAUGUCAAGUGAAUGGGGUUAGAGAAGAUGAGACAAUGCUGCUCCAAUUUGGGAAAGUUGAAGAUGAUAUGUUCACAAUGGACUAUAGGCAACCACUCGGCUUUUCAGGCUUUUGCCAUUUGCCUCACUAGCUUUGGUACAAAGUGUUCAUGUGAAUAGAAAUGCUUAGCUCAUAAUUUAAUGUUGCGGUUAUGUUGGUGGACAUAAAUUGGGCAAGCGUGUUGUAUAUUUUCGAUGUAUGAACGUUGUUGCUUUUGGACCAACUAGGGAUAUGUUGAAGCAGCUACUGGCAUCACUAUUUCUGUUGGACAUUUCUUAUGUAUUAUAAAGAAAGCAUGGCCUUGGUCCUUGAGUCUUGGAGUAUGUAUGACUUUCAAGUGGUUUGCUUUAUGUACAGAGAUUGACACGAGCAAUUAUAGGAUGAACUUAAAUGAACUGGAAUGGCUUCAAUGUA